rnacentral:rRNA from 1 species
GGGCGCACGGUGGAUGCCUUGACACUAGGAGUCGAUGAAGGACGGGACUAACGCCGAUAUGCUUCGGGGAGCUGUAAGUAAGCUUUGAUCCGAAGAUUUCCGAAUGGGGAAACCCACCAUACGUAAUGGUAUGGUAUCCUUAUCUGAAUACAUAGGGUAAGGAAGACAGACCCAGGGAACUGAAACAUCUAAGUACCUGGAGGAAGAGAAAGCAAAUGCGAUUUCCUGAGUAGCGGCGAGCGAAACGGAACAUAGCCCAAACCAAGAGGCUUGCCUCUUGGGGUUGUAGGACAUUCUAUACGGAGUUACAAAGGAACGAGGUAGACGAAGCGACCUGGAAAGGUCCGUCGUAGAGGGUAACAACCCCGUAGUCGAAACUUCGUUCUCUCUUGAAUGUAUCCUGAGUACGGCGGAACACGUGAAAUUCCGUCGGAAUCUGGGAGGACCAUCUCCCAAGGCUAAAUACUCCCUAGUGAUCGAUAGUGAACCAGUACCGUGAGGGAAAGGUGAAAAGCACCCCGGAAGGGGAGUGAAAGAGAUCCUGAAACCGUGUGCCUACAAAUAGUCAGAGCCCGUUAACGGGUGAUGGCGUGCCUUUUGUAGAAUGAACUGGCGAGUUACGAUCCCGUGCGAGGUUAAGCUGAAGAGGCGGAGCCGCAGCGAAAGCGAGUCUGAAUAGGGCGUUUAGUACGUGGUCGUAGACCCGAAACCAGGUGAUCUACCCAUGUCCAGGGUGAAGUUCAGGUAACACUGAAUGGAGGCCCGAACCCACGCACGUUGAAAAGUGCGGGGAUGAGGUGUGGGUAGCGGAGAAAUUCCAAUCGAACCUGGAGAUAGCUGGUUCUCCCCGAAAUAGCUUUAGGGCUAGCCUUAAGUGUAAGAGUCUUGGAGGUAGAGCACUGAUUGGACUAGGGGUCCUCAUCGGAUUACCGAAUUCAGUCAAACUCCGAAUGCCAAUGACUUAUCCUUAGGAGUCAGACUGCGAGUGAUAAGAUCCGUAGUCAAAAGGGAAACAGCCCAGACCGCCAGCUAAGGUCCCAAAGUGUGUAUUAAGUGGAAAAGGAUGUGGAGUUGCUUAGACAACUAGGAUGUUGGCUUAGAAGCAGCCACCAUUUAAAGAGUGCGUAAUAGCUCACUAGUCGAGUGACUCUGCGCCGAAAAUGUACCGGGGCUAAAUACACCACCGAAGCUGCGGAUUGAUACCAAUGGUAUCAGUGGUAGGGGAGCGUUCUAAGGACAGUGAAGUCAGACCGGAAGGACUGGUGGAGUGCUUAGAAGUGAGAAUGCCGGUAUGAGUAGCGAAAGACGGGUGAGAAUCCCGUCCACCGAAUGCCUAAGGUUUCCUGAGGAAGGCUCGUCCGCUCAGGGUUAGUCAGGACCUAAGCCGAGGCCGACAGGCGUAGGCGAUGGACAACAGGUUGAUAUUCCUGUACCACCUCUUUAUCGUUUGAGCAAUGGAGGGACGCAGAAGGAUAGAAGAAGCGUGCGAUUGGUUGUGCACGUCCAAGCAGUUAGGCUGAUAAGUAGGCAAAUCCGCUUAUCGUGAAGGCUGAGCUGUGAUGGGGAAGCUCCUUAUGGAGCGAAGUCUUUGAUUCCCCGCUGCCAAGAAAAGCUUCUAGCGAGAUAAAAGGUGCCUGUACCGCAAACCGACACAGGUAGGCGAGGAGAGAAUCCUAAGGUGUGCGAGAGAACUCUGGUUAAGGAACUCGGCAAAAUGACCCCGUAACUUCGGGAGAAGGGGUGCUUUCUUAACGGAAAGCCGCAGUGAAUAGGCCCAAGCGACUGUUUAGCAAAAACACAGCUCUCUGCGAAGCCGUAAGGCGAAGUAUAGGGGGUGACACCUGCCCGGUGCUGGAAGGUUAAGGAGAGGGGUUAGCGUAAGCGAAGCUCUGAACUGAAGCCCCAGUAAACGGCGGCCGUAACUAUAACGGUCCUAAGGUAGCGAAAUUCCUUGUCGGGUAAGUUCCGACCCGCACGAAAGGUGUAACGAUUUGGGCACUGUCUCAACCAGAGACUCGGUGAAAUUAUAGUACCUGUGAAGAUGCAGGUUACCCGCGACAGGACGGAAAGACCCCGUGGAGCUUUACUGUAGCCUGAUAUUGAAUUUUGGUACAGUUUGUACAGGAUAGGCGGGAGCCUUUGAAACCGGAGCGCUAGCUUCGGUGGAGGCGCUGGUGGGAUACCGCCCUGACUGUAUUGAAAUUCUAACCUACGGGUCUUAUCGACCCGGGAGACAGUGUCAGGUGGGCAGUUUGACUGGGGCGGUCGCCUCCUAAAGUGUAACGGAGGCGCCCAAAGGUUCCCUCAGAAUGGUUGGAAAUCAUUCGUAGAGUGCAAAGGCAUAAGGGAGCUUGACUGCGAGACCUACAAGUCGAGCAGGGACGAAAGUCGGGCUUAGUGAUCCGGUGGUUCCGCAUGGAAGGGCCAUCGCUCAACGGAUAAAAGCUACCCCGGGGAUAACAGGCUUAUCUCCCCCAAGAGUCCACAUCGACGGGGAGGUUUGGCACCUCGAUGUCGGCUCAUCGCAUCCUGGGGCUGUAGUCGGUCCCAAGGGUUGGGCUGUUCGCCCAUUAAAGCGGUACGCGAGCUGGGUUCAGAACGUCGUGAGACAGUUCGGUCCCUAUCCGUCGUGGGCGUAGGAAAUUUGAGAGGAGCUGUCCUUAGUACGAGAGGACCGGGAUGGACGCACCGCUGGUGUACCAGUUGUUCUGCCAAGGGCAUAGCUGGGUAGCUAUGUGCGGAAGGGAUAAGUGCUGAAAGCAUCUAAGCAUGAAGCCCCCCUCAAGAUGAGAUUUCCCAUAGCGUAAGCUAGUAAGAUCCCUGAAAGAUGAUCAGGUUGAUAGGUUCGAGGUGGAAGCAUGGUGACAUGUGGAGCUGACGAAUACUAAUAGAUCGAGGACUUAACCAU